CAUAGGACAUCUCCCUGACAUGGUCCCUCCAGUUCUUGGCCUGCGGGUCGAAGUGUUCGUCGUCCAUGAGCUCCAUCUUCUCCAGGGCGGCGCUCAUGGCGCUGAGCUCUUUCUCGAGGAAGGACACCUGCGUCCUCAUCCCGGUCAUUACCUUGUAGACCCACGCCAAGAUUAACCAAUAAAUGUUCGUGCAAUCAUGUAGUAUAGGGUCUGAUGAGUGGACUUUUUGCUCCGUGACGAGCGGCGUGACACUGCAAAAUAGGAACCUUUCUUUCCUUUAGACCAAAGACCAUUCAAACAAGAAGAUAUUGGAGUGUAUUUUGUACAGAGUUUUGCUUCCUCGUACAUAUGCAAUGUUUGUUUUUCCGGGUUU